GAGUUGAUAAUCCUACCCAGAUCAGCAUUCACCAUCUUAGAUCGAGGCAGUACGUACCCUUUCUUCUUCUCAGAAGGCUUAUCAAAUGACCCGUAAAUCGUAUCCAGCUUCUCGUAAGCCGAUUUGGUCCAAAUAAUGAACCUUCCAAGGUGACCACCAGGUGCCAGUUUCAACAGAUUAAGCCUCUCCACGUUGGCAACCUCCACUCCAGGAAUGUUACGGAAGGCUUUAACAAGCUUAGCUCCCUCAGUUCCGUAAACAAUCAAAGGACCUUUACGGGAAAUGUACCUCCGAUUCCUCAUUUUUCCUUUUCCGGGUCGGAUUUCUUGGCUGUCCUUAGCCUUUUCAACAUCAGGAUAUG
rnacentral:lncRNA from 1 species